AUUGAACGCUGGCGGCAGGCCUAACACAUGCAAGUCGAGCGGAGCGGCGGACGGGUGAGUAAUUCCUAUGAAUCUGCCUGGUAGUGGGGGAUAACGUCCGGAAACGGGCGCUAAUCCCGCAUACUUUCCGUUGAGCCUAGGUCGGAUUAGCUAGGUGGUGGGGUAAAGGCCUACCAAGGCGACGAUCCGUAACUGGUCUGAGAGGAUGAUCAGUCACACGGGAACUGAGACACGGUCCAGACUCCUACGGGAGGCAGCAGUGGGGAAUAUUGGACAAUGGGCGAAAGCCUGAUGCAGCCAUGCCGCGUGUGUGAAGAAGGUCGUCGGAUUGUAAAGCACUUUAAGUUGGGAGGCGUUACCAACAGAAUAAGCACCGGCUAACUUCGUGCCAGCAGCCGCGGUAAUUC
rnacentral:rRNA from 1 species